UACAGAGGUCUCAAGCGUUGUUCGGAUUCAUUGGGCGUAAAGGGUGCGUAGGCGGCGCGGUAAGUCGGGUGUGAAAUCUCGGAGCUUAACUCCGAAACUGCAUUCGAUACUGCCGUGCUUGAGGACUGGAGAGGAGACUGGAAUUCAUGGUGCAGCAGUGAAAUGCGUAGAGAUCAUGAGGAAGACCAGUGGCGAAGGCGGGUCUCUGGACAGUUCCUGACACUGAGGCACGAAGGCCAGGGGAGCAAACGGG
rnacentral:rRNA from 1 species